AUUGAACGCUGGCGGCAGGCUUAACACAUGCAAGUCGAGCGGGCGAGGUUGAUUCGGUAACUGAGCUAGCGGCGGACGGGUGAGUAAUGCUUAGGAAUCUGCCUAUUAGUGGGGGACAACAUUCCGAACGGAAUGCUCAUACCGCAUACGCCCUCCGGGGGAAAGCAGGGGAUCUUCGGACCUUGCGCUAAUAGAUGAGCCUUAGUCAGAUUAGCUCGGUGGUGGGGUAAAGGCCUACCAAGGCGACGAUCUGUAGCGGGUCUGAGAGGCGGGUGCGCCACACUGGGACUGUGACACGGCCCAGACUGCUAAGGGAGGGAGCAGUGGGGAAUAUGUGACAAUGGGCGGAAGCCUGAUCCAGACAUGCCGCGUGUGGGAAGAAGGCCUUUUGGUUGUAAAGCACUUUAAGCGAGGAAGAGGCGACUUGGAUUAAUACUCUAGGAUAGUGGACGUUACUCGCAGAAUAAGCACCGGCUAACUCUGUGCCAGCCGCCGCCGUAA
rnacentral:rRNA from 1 species